CUGCCUUAAACAAAGGAUGGACUGCCAAGCCCCACCACAUCUCAAACCAUGCUUUGAAGGAUCUGCCAAGCUCACUUUUAAUCACGAGAAAGAAAUUACCCACAUGGAGACAGCAGAAAAUGAGAAAGUAGAGCUCGUGCUGCGAAUAAUUCCGGCGAGUGCCAAGGGGCUAGUUGAGGAAUGGCUUCAUGAGG
ensembl:misc_RNA